rnacentral:tRNA from 1 species
UCCCAGGUGGCUCAGCGGGUAAAGAAUCCACCUGCAAUGUGGGAGACCUGGGUUCGAUCCCUGGGUUGGGAA